AGCGGACCGGGCCCCUCUGACGAUGUUACAUCGUGAUGUCGGACCGCAUCG
rnacentral:ncRNA from 1 species